GAAAAAGAUGCUGAAAAAGAUGCUGAAAAAGAUGCCGUUCCUGCCUUACCCAAACUCAACAACAACCAAACAGCGGAGAACACAACCAAGCCUGUUAAAGACCAGCCUCGACUGCUCAGGAGGCGACUGAUCUGACGGGAUCAGGAUCGCGGAUCUCGGAAGUUGCUGUCGUUCGGUAGUGGUGCGCUUGUCUAACGCACUCAGGGUUUGAACCCCCACUACUACUAAAACCAAUAAGAUAAAGUAGUUUAGUCUCUUG
rnacentral:lncRNA from 1 species